rnacentral:sRNA from 1 species
UGUGCAGGUGGUGGAUGAAAAAUUGCCUGGCCUACUUGGCAACUUUCCUGGCCCUUUUGAAGAGGAAAUGAAGGGUAUUGCCGCUGUUACUGAUAUACCUUUAGGUGGAACAUAAAUAAUGAUACCUGGGUCAUAACUGAGCAACUAAAACCUUUAACAGUGAAUUUGGACUUCCAAAGAAACAACAAAACUGUCUUCAAGGCUUCAAGCUUUGCUGGCUAUGUGGGCAUGUUAACAGGAUUCAAACCAGUAAGGAGUCUGUUGUUACAUAAUUAUACAGGUAGCCUUUUGUCCUAUUACUGUUACGUAAAAGUUGAAAUCUAAGAAUAUGAGGACCUAAAGGGAAUAUGAAGCCCCAUUUCACCCCCUUGUACUUCUUGUCACUUCAUAGGUAUGAGAUCUCGUGGUAGAGAAGAGUAGAAAGGAAACGGAGGUUUCUGAGCCUGUUCUGGGAUAAAGAGCAUGUGGCCGGGUGUCAAGGGCUGGGAGUCACAAUCUGAUUUCUAGUCCUAGGUCUUCCGCUCACUUAGGCAAGUCAGGCGUUCAUUCCCUGCCCUUCAGUUUCCUGUCCAAAAAGCGUUGCCAGUGAUACCCCACCUACUUAUCUCACAUACUAGAAUAAAAAAUGCUUUGAACUUUUUAAAAAGCCUUUUAUGGUUUUGAUUUAUUUUUGCCUUCCCCAUUACCAAAGCUAGGCCUUUAUAUCCCACUCUGAAGUACAGUGAGCGACAGGGCCUUAAAGCGCAUGGUUGAUGUUUCUGACUUCGUUGCUUUGUCUUUUUCUCAGGGACUGUUCAGUCUUUCACUGAAUGAACGUUUCAGUAUAAAUGGUGGUUAUCUGGGUAAGUAGAGCAUUCUCAAGUGAAAUGGGAAUCUCAGAGGUUUUUUAUGAGGAAGGCUGGACUGUGCCUUCUGGUUACAAAGUCCAACCUCUUCCGGUUCCCGACUGGUUACAAAGUCUAACCUCUUCUGGUUCCUGACUGGUUAUAUAGUCCAGCCUCUUCCGGGUCCUGACUGGUUACAUAGUGUAACCUCUUCCGGUUCCUGACAUUGUGUUCAUCUCUUCCAGGUAUUCUAGAAUGGAUUCUGGGAAAGAAAGAUGCCAUGUGGAUAGGGUUCCUCACUAGAACAGUUCUGGAAAAUAGCACAAGUUAUGAAGAAGCCAAGAAUUUAUUGACCAAGACCAAGAUAUUGGCCCCAGCCUACUUUAUCCUGGGAGGCAACCAGUCUGGGGAAGGUUGUGUGAUUACACGAGACAGAAAGGAAUCAUUGGAUGUAUAUGAACUCGAUGCUAAGCAGGGUAGAUGGUAUGUGGUACAAACAAAUUAUGACCGUUGGAAACAUCCCUUCUUCCUUGAUGAUCGCAGAACGCCUGCAAAGAUGUGUCUGAACCGCACCAGCCAAGAGAAUAUCUCAUUUGAAACCAUGUAUGAUGUCCUGUCAACAAAACCUGUCCUCAACAAGCUGACCGUAUACACAACCUUGAUAGAUGUUACCAAAGGUCAAUUCGAAACUUACCUGCGGGACUGCCCUGACCCUUGUAUAGGUUGGUGAGCACACGUCUGGCCUACAGAAUGCGGCCUCUGAGACAUGAAGACACCAUCUCCAUGUGACCGAACACUGCAGCUGUCUGACCUUCCAAAGACUAAGACUCGCGGCAGGUUCUCUUUGAGUCAAAAGCUUGUCUUCGUCCAUCUGUUGACAAAUGACAGACCUUUUUUUUUUCCCCCUAUCAGUUGAUUUUUCUUAUUUACAGAUAACUUCUUUAGGGGAAGUAAAACAGUCAUCUAGAAUUCAUUGAGUUUUGUUUCACUUUGACAUUUGGGGAUCUGGUGGGCAGUCGAACCAUGGUGAACUCCACCUCCGUGGAAUAAAUGGAGAUUCAGCGUGGGUGUUGAAUCCAGCACGUCUGUAUGAGUAACGGGACAGUAAACACUCCACAUUCUUCAGUUUUUCACUUCUACCUACAUAUUUGUAUGUUUUUCUGUAUAACAGCCUUUUCCUUCUGGUUCUAACUGCUCUUAAAAUUAAUAUAUCAUUAUCUUUGCUGUUAUUGACAGUGAUAUAAUUUUAUUACAUAUGAUUAGAGGGAUGAGACAGACAUUCACCUGUAUAUUUCUUUUAAUGGGCACAAAAUGGGCCCUUGCCUCUAAAUAGCACGUUUUGGGGUUCAAGAAGUAAUCAGUAUGCAAAGCAAUCUUUUAUACAAUAAUUGAAGUGUUCCCUUUUUCAUAAUUACUCUACUUCCCAGUAACCCUAAGGAAGUUGCUAACUUAAAAAACCGCAUCCCAGGUUCUGUUAAUUUAGUAAAUAAACAAGUCAAAGACUUGUGGAAAAUAGGAAGUGAACCCAUAUUUUAAAUUCUCAUAAGUAGCAUUCAUGUAAUAAACAGGUUUUUAGUUUGUUCUUCAGAUUGAUAGAUAGUUUUAAAGAAAUUUUAGUAGUUACUAAAAUUAUGUUACUUUAUUUUUCAGAAAUCAAACUGCUUAUGAAAAGUACUAAUAGAACUUGUUAACCUUUCUAACCUUCACGAUUAACUGUGAAAUGUACGUCAUUUGUGCAAGACCGUUUGUCCACUUCAUUUU